rnacentral:rRNA from 1 species
AUUGAACGCUGGCGGCAUGCUUUACACAUGCAAGUCGAACGGUAACAGGCCUUCGGGUGCUGACGAGUGGCGAACGGGUGAGUAAUGCAUCGGAACGUACCCAGAGGUGGGGGAUAACGCAGCGAAAGCUGUGCUAAUACCGCAUGUGAUCUGAGGAUGAAAGCGGGGGACCGAGCAGCAAUGUUUGGCCUCGCGCCUUUGGAGCGGCCGAUGUCGGAUUAGCUAGUUGGUGGGGUAAAGGCCUACCAAGGCGACGAUCCGUAGCUGGUCUGAGAGGACGACCAGCCACACUGGGACUGAGACACGGCCCAGACUCCGACGGGAGGCAGCAGUGGGGAAUUUUGGACAAUGGGCGCAAGCCUGAUACAGCAAUGCCGCGUGAGGGAAGAAGGCCUUCGGGUUGUAAACCGCUUUUGGCAGGAACGAAACGGUGUCCGCUAAUACCGGGCGCUAAUGACGGUACCUGCAGAAUAAGCACCGGCUAACUACGUG